CAGCCCCUCGAGUGGUGGGGAUGAUUAUUUGGCCUAAAGCGUCCGUAGCCGGCCGAGCAAGUCUUCCGUUAAAUCCAGCGUCUCAAGUGUUGGACCGCGGGAGAUACUACACGGCUAGAGAGUGGGAGAGGUCAGCGGUAUUCUGGGGGUAGGGGCGAAAUCCUUUGAUCCCCGGAGGACCACCAGUGGCGAAGGCUGCUGACUAGAACACGUCUGACGGUCAGGGACGAAAGCUGGGGUAGCGAACCGGAUUAGAUACCCGAGUAGUCC
rnacentral:rRNA from 1 species